ACGCUGGCGGCGUGCCUAACACAUGCAAGUCGAACGGAGUUAUUCCUUCGGGGAUAACUUAGUGGCGGACGGGUGAGUAACGCGUGAGUAACCUGCCUUUCAGAGGGGGAUAACGUUCUGAAAAGAUCGCUAAUACCGCAUGAGACUACAGAGCUGCAUGGCUCAGUGGUCAAAGGAGCAAUCCGCUGAAAGAUGGACUCGCGUCCGAUUAGAUAGUUGGCGGGGUAACGGCCCACCAAGUCGACGAUCGGUAGCCGGACUGAGAGGUUGAACGGCCACAUUGGGACUGAGAUACGGCCCAGACUCCUACGGGAGGCAGCAGUGGGGAAUAUUGGGCAAUGGGGGAAACCCUGACCCAGCAACGCCGCGUGAAGGAAGAAGGCCUUCGGGUUGUAAACUUCUUUUACCAGGGACGAAGAACGUGACGGUACCUGGAGAAAAAGCAACGGCUAACUACGUG
rnacentral:rRNA from 1 species